GCAGCUUACACAUGCAGUCGAGCGGGGAAGGGUAGCUUGCUACCUGACCUAGCGGCGGACGGGUGAGUAAUGCUUAGGAAUCUGCCUAUUAGUGGGGGACAACAUUCCGAAAGGAAUGCUAAUACCGCAUACGCCCUACGGGGGAAAGCAGGGGAUCUUCGGACCUUGCGCUAAUAGAUGAGCCUAAGUCAGAUUAGCUAGUUGGUGGGGUAAAGGCCUACCAAGGCGACGAUCUGUAGCGGGUCUGAGAGGAUGAUCCGCCACACUGGGACUGAGACACGGCCCAGACUCCUACGGGAGGCAGCAGUGGGGAAUAUUGGACAAUGGGCGAAAGCCUGAUCCAGCCAUGCCGCGUGUGUGAAGAAGGCCUUUUGGUUGUAAAGCACUUUAAGCGAGGAGGAGGCUACCGAGAUUAAUACUCUUGGAUAGUGGACGUUACUCGCAGAAUAAGCACCGGCUAACUCUGUGCCAGCAGCCGCGGUAAUACAGAGGGUGCGAGCGUUAAUCGGAUUUACUGGGCGUAAAGCGUGCGUAGGCGGCUUUUUAAGUCGGAUGUGAAAUCCCUGAGCUUAACUUAGGAAUUGCAUUCGAUACUGGGAAGCUAGAGUAUGGGAGAGGAUGGUAGAAUUCCAGGUGUAGCGGUGAAAUGCGUAGAGAUCUGGAGGAAUACCGAUGGCGAAGGCAGCCAUCUGGCCUAAUACUGACGCUGAGGUACGAAAGCAUGGGGAGCAAACAGGAUUAGAUACCCUGGUAGUCCAUGCCGUAAACGAUGUCUACUAGCCGUUGGGGCCUUUGAGGCUUUAGUGGCGCAGCUAACGCGAUAAGUAGACCGCCUGGGGAGUACGGUCGCAAGACUAAAACUCAAAUGAAUUUGACGGGGGCCCGCACAAGCGGUGGAGCAUGG
rnacentral:rRNA from 1 species